rnacentral:tRNA from 1 species
UCCCUGGUAGUAUAUCGGUUUAGUACACGCGCCUGUCACGCGCGAAAGCGGGGUUCGACUCCCCGCCAGGGAG